rnacentral:rRNA from 1 species
GACGAACGCUGGCGGCGUGCCUAACACAUGCAAGUCGAGCGGGGAGAGAUUUUCGGAUUUCUCUUUAGCGGCGGACGGGUGAGUAACAAGUGGGUAACCUGCCUCAAAGAGGGGGAUAGCCUUCCGAAAGGAAGAUUAAUACCGCAUAAUAUCAGGAAGCUGCAUGGCAUUCUGAUUAAAGGAGCAAUCCGCUUUGAGAUGGACCCGCGGCGCAUUAGCUAGUUGGUGAGGUAACGGCCCACCAAGGCUACGAUGCGUAGCCGACCUGAGAGGGUGAUCGGACACAUGGGAACUGAGACACGCUCCAGAAUCCUGCGGGAGGCAGCAGGGGGGAAUAUUGCACAAUGGGGGAAACCCUGAUGCAGACACGCCGCGUGAGUGAUGAAGGCCUUCGGGGCGUAAAGCUCUUUGAUCAGGGACGAUAAUGACGGUACCUUAAAAACAAGCCACGGCUAACUACGUGCCAGCCGCCGCCGUAACAC